rnacentral:rRNA from 1 species
UACGUAGGUGGCGAGCGUUGUCCGGAUUUAUUGGGCGUAAAGCGCGCGCAGGCGGUGCGGUAAGUCUGUCGUGAAAUCUCCCGGCUCAACUGGGAGGGUGCGGUGGAGACUGCCGGACUGGAGGCACUCAGAGGCCGGUGGAAUUCCCGGUGUAGUGGUGAAAUGCGUAGAGAUCGGGAGGAACACCGACGGCGCAGGCAGCGUCCUGGCCGCUUGCUGACACUGAGGCACGAAAGCUGGGGGAGCAAACAGG